AGAAGCCCCGUCUACCGAAUUACCUACAGAAAAAUAAACCAUGCAAAUGAUGGAAUUGGAUUAGAAUGGGAAUAACCCCCUUGUAUCUGAUGAUUUGCGGAUGUUCAUGCUUUUAUACAGUCACAAAUAUCCACUUUAAAACUCGG